rnacentral:rRNA from 1 species
GAUGAACGCUAGCGAUAGGCUUAACACAUGCAAGUCGAGGGGCAGCAUGGUCUUAGCUUGCUAAGACUGAUGGCGACCGGCGCACGGGUGCGUAACGCGUAUGCACCUUGCCUCACAGAGGGGGAUAACCCGUCGAAAGACGGACUAAUACCGCGUACACUCCAUCUUGGGCAUCCAAGGUAGAGGAAAUGAAAUUCGCUGUGAGAUAGGCAUGCGUCCCAUUAGCUAGUUGGUGAGGUAACGGCUCACCAAGGCGACGAUGGGUAGGGGAACUGAGAGGUUGAACCCCCACACUGGUACUGAGACACGGACCAGACUACUACGGGAGGCAGCAGUGAGGAAUAUUGGUCAAUGGGCGAGAGCCUGAACCAGCCAAGUCGCGUGAAGGAUGACUGUCUUAUGGAUUGUAAACUUCUUUUAUACGGGAAUAACAAGAGUCACGUGUGACUCCCUGCAUGUACCGUAUGAAUAAGCAUCGGCUAACUCCGUG